rnacentral:rRNA from 1 species
UGCAGUCGAACGAUGAAGCUGGGGCUUGCUCUGGUGGAUUAGUGGCGAACGGGUGAGUAACACGUGAGUAACCUGCCCUUGACUCUGGGAUAAGCGUUGGAAACGACGUCUAAUACCGGAUACGAGCUUCAGCCGCAUGGCUAGGAGUUGGAAAGAUUUUUUGGUCAAGGAUGGACUCGCGGCCUAUCAGCUUGUUGGUGAGGUAAUGGCUCACCAAGGCGACGACGGGUAGCCGGCCUGAGAGGGUGACCGGCCACACUGGGACUGAGACACGGCCCAGACUCCUACGGGAGGCAGCAGUGGGGAAUAUUGCACAAUGGGCGAAAGCCUGAUGCAGCAACGCCGCGUGAGGGACGACGGCCUUCGGGUUGUAAACCUCUUUUAGCAGGGAAGAAGCGCAAGUGACGGUACCUGCAGAAAAAGCACCGGCUAACUACGUGCCAGCAGCCGCGGUAAUACGUAGGGUGCAAGCGUUGUCCGGAAUUAUUGGGCGUAAAGAGCUCGUAGGCGGUUUGUCGCGUCUGCUGUGAAAACGCGAGGCUCAACCUCGCGCCUGCAGUGGGUACGGGCAGACUAGAGUGCGGUAGGGGAGAUUGGAAUUCCUGGUGUAGCGGUGGAAUGCGCAGAUAUCAGGAGGAACACCGAUGGCGAAGGCAGAUCUCUGGGCGGUAACUGACGCUGAGGAGCGA